GCGCAUGUGGCGUAAUUGGCAGCCGCGCCAGACUUAGGAUCUGGUGCCGAAAGGCGUGUGGGUUCGAGUCCCUCCAUGCGCA
rnacentral:tRNA from 2 species